GGAUGGAGGAAGGGAGAGGAGAGGAGAAAGGGAGAGGGGACAAAAGACAAGAGAAGUGCAGUGGAAAGAGAAGCGAAUGGAUAGAUAGAAAGGGGGUGUGGAGAGGAGACAUAAGAGAAUGAUAGAUAGAGGGGGUGUGGAGAGGAGACAUAAGAGAAUGAUAGAUAGAGGGGGGGUGUGGAGAGGAGACAGAAGAGAAUGAUAGAUAGAGAGGGGGUGUGGAGAGGAGACAGAAGAGAAUGAUAGAUAGAGAGGGGGUGUGGAGAGGAGACAGAAGAGAAUGAUAGAUAGAGAGGGGUGUGGAGAGGAGACAGAAGAGAAUGAUAGAUAGAGAGGGGGUGUGGAGAGGAGACAGAAGAGAAUGAUAGAUCGAGAG
ensembl:lncRNA